GCGCCGCUCUCGUGGGGUGCCCGGGGCGGGCUCGCAGCCCCGCGCGGCUCAGGCGGCAGCGCUGCCAGCGGCGCUACACUCGCGCUACGGGCACCGCGCGGGGCAGAGCCGCAACGUGUCUGGAGACGGGAGAGGAGGCGGGGAGGCAGACCCUUAUGUGCCUGCUGGAAGCACUGCACUGCAAUCUUCCCUUGACACUGCUGGAAGAUCAGGCCUCUGCCUUCCCCGACUGUGUGGACGUCCCUUGCAACAUACACCAGGAGCUGAAUGUGUGUUUUCUACCCUGCAAUUAUUGGGAGCUGCUUAACCCAAAUGGAAGAACACCCGAGCGCAGCUGGAGCUGCUCUCAUGGUGUGAGUGCCUGAUGUCAGCGUGAGCCCCUGUGACAGUGCCCUGGUGCUUGGCUGUCCUCAUGGAGCAUCAGCAGCUCUUGUCAGUGGUGCCCCCCAGCCGCCCGGUGCCCGAGGCCGUGGCACCAGCGCUGAGCUCUCAGCAGUGUCGGGGCAGGCCUGCCCUCGGCAGCCAGCCUGGCUCUGCCGCUGCGAGUGUGGAAUGGGCCAAACAGGCUCAGUUAUAAAAAACACAAGUUUUAACACUUUACAGGCUGAGAACAUUGAGGCUGUUCAGCCUGGGGAAGAGAAGCUGCCUGGAGACCUGUCAGAGCAGCUCACAGUAUCUGAAUGGGGCUACAAGGGUGGUGGGGAGGGACUCUUCAUUAGGGACUGUAGUGAUAGGACAAGGGGUGAUAGGUUGAAACUGAAACAGGGGAAGUUCAGGUUAGAUACAAGGAAGAAGUUCUUUACUGUGAGGGUGGUGAGGCCCUGGCACAGGUUGCCCAGGGAAGUGGUGAAUGCCCCAUCCCUGGCAGUGUUCAAGGCCAGGUUGGGCAGAGCCUUGGGUGACAUGGUCUAGGGUGAGAAGUCCCUGCCCAUGGGAGGGGGUUGGAACUGGAUGGUCUUAAAGUCCUUUCCAACCCAAACCAUUCUAUGAUUCCAUUGGCCUGUCAUGGAGAACACGUAAGACAGCAAUAUCUAUUGGUUUGGUAUCAAUUGCUUUUCUUUGUCCCAUUGUUUGUUCAGAAGUUAGGGAGACCUUGUCCUAUAAGCAGGUUCCUCCUGGUCGCUUUCCAGCUAACCAGCCACAGAGCUGCCACAGUGCUGCCACAGCGCUGCCACAGCACUCCGCCUUCCUGACCUGAAAACAUGAACUUUCACAUUCCUGCCAGCGUGGCUUGUGCCUCCCAAACCCAGAGUCACCUACAGCCCGCGCUGCGAGGUGGCAGGACACAGCACAGCCAGAGCUUGUCCUUAUCAAGUGUGACAAGGGCCUUUUGCUGCGGGAACAGCUUGCACUGUUUUGGUGCAAUGCUACACAUUGCACUUGUGUAGGCUUGUAAAAGGAUACGUGUCCAUGUGCACUGGUACCAGCAAUUCUCUGGAGCUGUAAAAACACCGCGGUGCCAUCAGCAUACCACAUCAAACAAGGAGGCCAAGCACCGCUGUGACCAGAGCUGCACAGGCACCACCGGGGUGGCAGCAUGUGCGUAGCCCAGGGCAAGGGGAGCAGCAUUUAGUUUUGCCAACAUGCAGUAUGUUACUAA